rnacentral:lncRNA from 1 species
GCUGAGAGCAGCAAUGGCGACUGCAUUAACCUUUCCAACGUUGUGCUGGAAAUGCACGAGUCCUACUGGGAACACAAACACAUCACCCUUUUGAAGCACCUUUGUGAUAAGUUUGUUUUCGGGGUUGGAGGUGACAAAACCCACUUGGAGGCUCCCUUCAAGGACUGUCAAGAUUUCAGUCGCCCUAGGAUGAGUGUGUGGAGCAUUGAUGCCCCACGGUGCAUAGUCAAUACGAACAAGGGAGAUACCAAAAGUAUUGAGUCCUGGAAUUUGGGCUACAUUAGCAGGAGUCACCUUUGAACCAGCAGGGUUUGAUGUGUUGCCUGCUAGGUGAAGUCCACUGAAGAAGAAAUCCUCAGCGACAACAAGCUUGGGGUCCUUGCACACAUGUCCAUUCACUGGAACUGAAAUUAAAAUUCAUCACAUAAAUGUAUCAGAAACAUAAACAUUAGGUGAUGUCUUUUUAAUUGAUAAAUAUAGUCACAUUGACAUAUGUGAGUAUGAUUCUAGCUUGCUAGCUACCUGAGCCUGUUGGGUCAGCAACACAGAAAUCCUGAAGAGAACUUGGGUCAGAUGCCAAAGCUAUGGAAACAGUUACGGCAAGGCACACUAAAAACAGAAACCGAGAGGCCAUUGUUGGGAAUCAAGCUAGUAAUUGCUGAAGCUUUCUAGUCAAGGUUACGCUUGCUCAGAUUGUGGAUUGAGAUCCAGCAAAUAUGUCUGCUUUUAUAGAGACAUCAGGGAGAUCCUUUACGGCUGUACCUGUGUUUUUUCUAUGAUCUGAAAGAGUAUUCAUUCUGUAACUGUGUAUGACAAUUUGUUCACAGAAAGUUUGUCCUUGCUACCCUGGAUUUAUCUUCAUAGGCCGGUAAUUGGUGCUGCAUUCAGAUGGUUCAUUUCUCCAAAAUGAAAAGGGUAAGCUAUAAUAUUACUAACCAAUUAAAAUUGCACUAAAAUGGAACAUAUGGCAGCUUGUUAAGUGAAUCACCAUAUGAAAAUGUUAUAGCAGCUCUUUCUCCACGCUGCUCUUUUUAUAACGGAUUGGUUUACGUGAUCCAGAAUCAUAUGAAUCGUAAUCCAUCCGUAGUUGCAUGUAAGUAGUUUAUCUUAUCAUCGAUGUAUAUUAAAAUUAUAUGUUAAGACAAUAGCAGCAGCUGGCAUGGUAGCAUCAGAUAUUCUAAUCCGAUUGGAAAACUUGGAUCUUGUUCUUUGUUUCAAGCUGGCUUACAAGCGUACCUUGACCUGUUUGAAGGAGCAGGCAGAUAAUUAACGUCUGGACUUAAGGUGGACUUGUUCAAUCUGGUUGUAAUUUGGAGACAAAUGUGACACCUUCUCUGUCAGAAACUAUUAUAUCUUAUAUAACCAUGCCUUAGUUUUUGCAAACAUUGAUUGACUUAUUAAACAAAGGUUGUGCAAUGGCGGCCUCUUCAGGUAUUACUUAUGAUCCAAGUAAUCUCGUUCUUGUAUUGUUUGAUCUCUAAGCAUGAUUCAUUAAUUUUUAUGCAUGUUUACGAUUAAUUCAUUAGAUCAGACCUUAGAACAUGCUUACAACUUACAAGAACACCUAAGUAAUUCUGAAACCAAUUUUAACUCCGCUGUUCUGCAUCGGAUGCAAGAAUAAGUUUGAGCGAAAAAGAGAGACAGACUUGAAACCGCCAAAGAAAGAGUACAGUGCAUGGCACCAUUCCAAGUUUUCCAACUCAACUGCAGAUGAGUGUCUUUAUUAAAGCUUCAAUCCCAAUCAAUUCGAUCAUGGAUGUCCCUCCAUAACUAGUUGUCAAACUUCUUUUGGGACUGUAGGUCAAGGAAACCAACAUCACAUUGUCUGAUGUUCAUUCUAUUAGCUGUGUUUUAUCAGCAAGGUUUAGCUGAUUUGGCUAGGAACACAUAUGGUUAGGUCAUUUUGGGCAAGUUGCAAUGUGACUGGUAAUGAGAAAGAACACCCAAUGUACGUGCGAUUCAUCUCAGAAUGUGGAUCUGUCAGUGUCACAACAGAAAUUUCUGCUUCACAACUUACUGAUAAGACAGUAAUUUACGCUAUAAUAUUAUAUAAUUGCAAAAUCUAAUGACUGCAACCAUAUACGCUAUAAUAUCAAAACGUUAGAGAAUUUACUGAAGGGUUCUCAUGCAUAAUUUUACAAAAUGGAUGAAUAGGCGUUCCAUAGUUUGCCAUUUAGGACGCCCUAACAAAGACAUGAAUCUGUUUAUGACCCAAAAAACAAAAAGUGUAUAUAUGUUUGUGAAGACAGAGGUCUCUUCUCUGAAGAAAUAAAAGGUGUAAAUUAACAAGCCUAUAUGUUUUCUUGAACCAUGAAAUGAGAGAAAAUAUUUGAUCAACUCUGGUAACAAUAUUGCUAAAUGAGCUCAAACAAAUUUUCUUCUUGAAGUAACAGAAUCAGACAAAUAAACGCCAAUGUGGCUACAAUGACAAAUCAACUGCAACAAUUCUCAAAACAAAUCACACAAACUUAAACGAAUAUUCAACCCCUUUGGACUUAAUCAUAGAUAGCUUCAUCUUGGAGUCUAGAACUUGGACUGGAAAUCAUAGAUAGUCUCCUUGUCUACUUGGAAUGCCUUUGCAAGAACAUCAGCAGAAAUGGCAGGAUUUGAUCCAAACACUGCAUUAGCAAUGCUAAUAACACCUGGAUUUUGGCUGCUGAGAGCAGCAAUGGCGACUGCAUUAACCUUUCCAACGUUGUGCUGGAAAUGCACAAGUCCUACUGGGAACACAAACACAUCACCCUUCUGAAGCACCUUUGUGAUGAGUUUGUUUUCGGGGUUGGAGGUGACAAAACCCACUUGGAGGCUCCCUUCAAGGACUGUCAAGAUUUCAGUCGCCCUAGGAUGAGUGUGUGGAGCAUUGAUGCCCCAAGGUGCAUAGUCGAUACGAACAAGGGAGAUACCAAAAGUAUUGAGUCCUGGAAUUUGGGCUACAUUAGCAGGGGUCACCUUUGAACCAGCAGGGUUUGAUGUGUUCCCUGCUAGGUGAAGUCCACUGAAGAAGAAAUCAUCGGCGACAACAAGCUUGGGAUCCUUGCACACAUGUCCAUUCACUGGUACUGAAAUUAAAAUUCAUGAGAGAAAUGCAUCAGAAACA